rnacentral:lncRNA from 1 species
GCCAGUUUGGCCUUGUGGUUAGUGUGUCAGACUAUUAUCUGGAACUCUCCUGGUUCGAGUCUGCCCUCCUNCAGGAAGCCAGCUNGAUGACCUUGGACUCGUCACAGCUCUGUUCUGAGUUCUCACACCCCCACCUGCCUCACAAGUGGUCCAUAGUGGGGAAGAAGAACAGAAGGUUUGUCNGCUGCUUUGAGUCUGCUCAGGGUGAGAAAAGCAGGGUGCAAAAAACAACUCUUCUUCUUAAUUUCCAGAGGAAGCAGGUGCAGGCAAGGAACGGGAAGGGCAAGACAGCAAGCCAAGCUCAGAUGGAAGCCCCGUUGGCUGCANGGAGCAAUAGGAUUUCCAAUGCCUCCCUUGCCCACCCCACUCUCCCUUCAAGCUGUCCGUCUCCUGGACCUGCUGCUCAUGAGGGGGCAGGCAACUUAAAGGCAGAAUCUGGCAGAACUGCGAUAGAUUUGCCCCCAACUGAAGGCCUACCAAUCACUGUUCUUAAAAGAACGCUGGCCUACCCCAAAGGAUCCAAAUGGGGCAAGGAGGAUGGUAAAGGACUCCACAAGCAAGAUCUGCAACAGCGAGAGGAAGGAUAUCACCGAAGGUCAGAAAAUUCCAUAGAGUAGACACAGCGUGAUGUCAGUAGGCAGCAGGUUGGAAGUUUCUCGUAAUGCAGCCUUCCAAAAAUGGCUCCAUCUUGGCCUUUCAGCCAUUUCCAUCCGCCCCAGCUGGCAGAGCAUCGACUGAAGUGUUUUUCCACUACUAUUAAUCUUGCAUUUGCUCUCCCUAACNGGCACAUUUCUCUUCCCAGCAGUCUGGACCACCGCGGGGGCCACCUCUAGGAAACUCUUUGCAUCCUCAGGAGCCUUGAAGUGGCGCUGAGUUCUAGCUGGUGGUGCACAUUCA